rnacentral:rRNA from 1 species
UACGUAGGGUGCAAGCGUUGUCCGGAAUUAUUGGGCGUAAAGAGCUCGUAGGCGGUUCGUCGCGUCGGCUGUGAAAACUGGAGGCUCAACCUCCAGCCUGCAGUGGGUACGGGCAGACUAGAGUGCGGUAGGGGAGAUUGGAAUUCCUGGUGUAGCGGUGGAAUGCGCAGAUAUCAGGAGGAACACCGAUGGCGAAGGCAGAUCUCUGGGCCGUAACUGACGCUGAGGAGCGAAAGCAUGGGGAGCGAACAGG